rnacentral:tRNA from 1 species
CAUUUAUUAAAGAGAAAAACUAGUUAAUAUAUAAUAUAAGAUUGUCAAUCUUAAGUAACUAAAAAUAGUGUUUUUCAC